UACGUAGGGAGCAAGCGUUGUCCGGAAUCAUUGGGCGUAAAGGGCGCGUAGGCGGCCAUCUAAGUCAGACGUGAAAUCCCCCGGCUUAACCUGGGAACUGCGUCUGAUACUGGAAGGCUUGAGUAUGGGAGAGGGAUGUAGAAUUCCAGGUGUAGCGGUGAAAUGCGUAGAUAUCUGGAGGAAUACCGGUGGCGAAGGCGGCAUCCUGGACCAUUACUGACGCUGAGGCGCGAAAGCUAGGGGAGCAAACGGG
rnacentral:rRNA from 1 species